ensembl:lncRNA
CUUGCCUAGACCCCAGUUUAAUCUGGGGAAACAGGUUUCCAGCUUUUCCUUAGAAUCCCAGGAUUCUUCACCAAAAGAGUCCCCUAGGCACUUCACCAAGGUCACUUUGGGAGACCCCAGCAAACUAGCUUCCCCGCUGGGCUCUGAAGGGGCAACCUUGCAGGUGGCUCCCGGUGGCAGGAGGGGCAACUGCCCACAGGCUCCUGGCCAGCCCCUCUGGCUGACCCAGGCAUGCUGAUCUUGGUGUGGCUCUUAGUCUGGCAAAGGAUGAAAGGCAAGAGUUAAGUCAGGGCUCAGAGCUGUGGAGGGGUUACAAGAGCCUUUAAUCCUGCGUGGGAAUGGCCGGGAUGCAGAGCCAGACUGGCAGGGUGAGGGCGGAGGCCCGGCCACCUUCGCUGCAGUGAGAGGAGGUUGACAGAUGCUGUUUUGAGACCCAAGGCAGAUGACCUGCACUUGAUCAGUUCUCACAGAGAAGGCAUCCAGCACCUCGGGGGCUGCCAGGACCCCACCCUGCUUCGGACGUUUUCCCACAGUCUGCUGUCUGACCGCAUCCCCCCACCCACCCACCGAGGGCUUCAUUCUCCCCACUGGAGACCCCUGAGGACACAUGGAUCUUGAAGAGGCCACCCCUGCCCCAGGCCUUGAGUGCCCGGCACCCACGAGUGAAGUCUACGUUUCUGAAGGAGAGCUAGCAUUUCUUCCAUCGCUUCUGUCUUCCUCCACAGGACUGAGGCCGAGCCUGCUGGGCAAGGGGCUGGGAGGACAUGAAGUCAGAAGAAGGCAACUGGAACUGAAGAAGGGGUAGCCCAGCGUCAAGGUGGCCACAUGGAAAAAACAGGGCAGAGAACUGUGGGAAGGGGCCAGUUACAACCCAUUAGACAGAUAUUUACAAAAC